ACCUCCACCAAUGCCAGCACUGUGGACCAUAUAGGAAUGUGGACAAGAUAGGAAAGUGACGAUAUGGGAAUGUUGACGAAUCAGAACAUAUGACAAUAAUGACAAGUUUAGAAGGUGACGAAAUACGAUUGUGGACGAAGCGGUCCU